GAACCAGUACCGUGAGGGAAAGGCGAAAAGAACCCCGGCGAGGGGAGUGAAAAAGAACCUGAAACCGUGUACGUACAAGCAGUGGGAGCACCCUUUGGGGUGUGACUGCGUACCUUUUGUAUAAUGGGUCAGCGACUUAUAUUCUGUAGCAAGGUUAACCGAAUAGGGGAGCCGGAGGGAAACCGAGUCUUAAUUAGGCGUUAAGUUGCAGGGUAUAGACCCGAAACCCGGUGAUCUAGCCAUGGGCAGGUUGAAGGUUGGGUAACACUAACUGGAGGACCGAACCGACUAAUGUUGAAAAAUUAGCGGAUGACCUGUGGCUGGGGGUGAAAGGCCAAUCAAACCGGGAGAUAGCUGGUUCUCCCCGAAAGCUAUUUAGGUAGCGCCUCGUGAAUUCAUCUCCGGGGGUAGAGCACUGUUUCGGCUAGGGGGCCAUCCCGGCUUACCAACCCGAUGCAAACUGCGAAUACCGGAGAAUGUUAUCACGGGAGACACACGGCGGGUGCUAACGUCCGUCGUGAAGAGGGAAACAACCCAGACCGCCAGCUAAGGUCCCAAAGUCAUGGUUAAGUGGGAAACGAUGUGGGAAGGCCCAGACAGCCAGGAUGUUGGCUUAGAAGCAGCCAUCAUUUAAAGAAAGCGUAAUAGCUCACUGGUCGAGUCGGCCUGCGCGGAAGAUGUAACGGGGCUAAACCAUGCACCGAAGCUGCGGCAGCGACGCUGAUGCGUUGUUGGGUAGGGGAGCGUUCUGUAAGCCUGCGAAGGUGGCCUGUGAGGGUUGCUGGAGGUAUCAGAAGUGCGAAUGCUGACAUAAGUAACGAUAAAGCGGGUGAAAAGCCCGCUCGCCGGAAGACCAAGGGUUCCUGUCCAACGUUAAUCGGGGCAGGGUGAGUCGACCCCUAAGGCGAGGCCGAAAGGCGUAGUCGAUGGGAAACGGGUUAAUAUUCCCGUACUUGGUGUUACUGCGAAGGGGGGACGGAGAAGGCUAUGUUGGCCGGGCGACGGUUGUCCCGGUUUAAGCGUGUAGGUGUGUGUUCCAGGUAAAUCCGGUUCACUUUAACACUGAGGCGUGAUGACGAGGCACUACGGUGCUGAAGCAACAAAUGCCCUGCUUCCAGGAAAAGCCUCUAAGCAUCAGGUAACAUCAAAUCGUACCCCAAACCGACACAGGUGGUCAGGUAGAGAAUACCAAGGCGCUUGAGAGAACUCGGGUGAAGGAACUAGGCAAAAUGGUGCCGUAACUUCGGGAGAAGGCACGCUGACACGUAGGUGAAGUGAUUUACUCAUGGAGCUGAAGUCAGUCGAAGAUACCAGCUGGCUGCAACUGUUUAUUAAAAACACAGCACUGUGCAAACACGAAAGUGGACGUAUACGGUGUGACGCCUGCCCGGUGCCGGAAGGUUAAUUGAUGGGGUCAGCGCAAGCGAAGCUCCUGAUCGAAGCCCCGGUAAACGGCGGCCGUAACUAUAACGGUCCUAAGGUAGCGAAAUUCCUUGUCGGGUAAGUUCCGACCUGCACGAAUGGCGUAAUGAUGGCCAGGCUGUCUCCACCCGAGACUCAGUGAAAUUGAACUCGCUGUGAAGAUGCAGUGUACCCGCGGCAAGACGGAAAGACCCCGUGAACCUUUACUAUAGCUUGACACUGAACAUUGAGCCUUGAUGUGUAGGAUAGGUGGGAGGCUUUGAAGUGUGGACGCCAGUCUGCAUGGAGCCGGCCUUGAAAUACCACCCUUUAAUGUUUGAUGUUCUAACGUGGACCCGUGAUCCGGGUUGCGGACAGUGUCUGGUGGGUAGUUUGACUGGGGCGGUCUCCUCCUAAAGAGUAACGGAGGAGCACGAAGGUUGGCUAAUCCUGGUCGGACAUCAGGAGGUUAGUGCAAUGGCAUAAGCCAGCUUGACUGCGAGCGUGACGGCGCGAGCAGGUGCGAAAGCAGGUCAUAGUGAUCCGGUGGUUCUGAAUGGAAGGGCCAUCGCUCAACGGAUAAAAGGUACUCCGGGGAUAACAGGCUGAUACCGCCCAAGAGUUCAUAUCGACGGCGGUGUUUGGCACCUCGAUGUCGGCUCAUCACAUCCUGGGGCUGAAGUAGGUCCCAAGGGUAUGGCUGUUCGCCAUUUAAAGUGGUACGCGAGCUGGGUUUAGAACGUCGUGAGACAGUUCGGUCCCUAUCUGCCGUGGGCGCUGGAGAACUGAGGGGGGCUGCUCCUAGUACGAGAGGACCGGAGUGGACGCAUCACUGGUGUUCGGGUUGUCAUGCCAAUGGCACUGCCCGGUAGCUAAAUGCGGAAGAGAUAAGUGCUGAAAGCAUCUAAGCACGAAACUUGCCCCGAGAUGAGUUCUCCCUGAGACUUAGAGUCUCCUGAAGGAACGUUGAAGACGACGACGUUGAUAGGCCGGGUGUGUAAGCGCAGCGAUGCGUUGAGCUAACCGGUACUAAUGAACCGUGAGGCUUAACCUUACAACGCCGAAG
rnacentral:rRNA from 1 species